GGGCGUGUGGCGCAGCGGUAGCGCGCUUCGUUUGCAUGUAUGCAAAGUCACGAUUGUCUCGAUCGCUCUCCGAAGAGGUCUUGGGUUCGAACCCCAACUCGUCCA